rnacentral:rRNA from 1 species
UGGGGAAUAUUGGACAAUGGGCGCAAGCCUGAUCCAGCCAUGCCGCGUGAGUGAUGAAGGCCCUAGGGUUGUAAAGCUCUUUCACCGGUGAAGAUAAUGACGGUAACCGGAGAAGAAGCCCCGGCUAACUUCGUGCCAGCAGCCGCGGUAAUACGAAGGGGGCUAGCGUUGUUCGGAUUUACUGGGCGUAAAGCGCACGUAGGCGGACUAUUAAGUCAGGGGUGAAAUCCCGGGGCUCAACCCCGGAACUGCCUUUGAUACUGGAAGUCUUGAGUAUGGUAGAGGUGAGUGGAAUUCCGAGUGUAGAGGUGAAAUUCGUAGAUAUUCGGAGGAACACCAGUGGCGAAGUCGGCUCACUGGACCAUUACUGACGCUGAGGUGCGAAAGCGUGGGGAGCAAACAGG